rnacentral:rRNA from 1 species
UAAUACGGGGGGAGCAAGCGUUGUUCGGAUUUACUGGGCGUAAAGGGCGCGUAGGCGGCCAGCGCAAGUCAGUUGUGAAAUCUCCGAGCUUAACUCGGAAAGGUCAACUGAUACUGCGCGGCUAGAGUGCGGAAGGGGCAACUGGAAUUCUCGGUGUAGCGGUGAAAUGCGUAGAUAUCGAGAGGAACACCUGCGGCGAAGGCGGGUUGCUGGGCCGACACUGACGCUGAGGCGCGAAAGCUAGGGGAGCGAACGGGAUUAGAUACCCCGGUAGUCCACGCCGUAAACGAUGAAUGCCAGCCGUUAGUGGGUUUACUCACUAGUGGCGCAGCUAACGCUUUAAGCAUUCCGCCUGGGGAGUACGGUCGCAAGAUUA